rnacentral:rRNA from 1 species
GAUGGCUCACAAUCAGUUUGACUGGCGAACAUGUUUAUCUGACCCCGCGGGGGAUGGCACGAUCUCGUCAUUCCCCCACCCCCCCGGGAUGCGGCCUCGCACGGCGCGGCUUCCUCCCGGAGAUCACAAACCCCGGCGCCUCGUGCGCCAAGGAAUCCAAAAUUGUUCAGUGCGGCCCCGGGGGAGUUGGAAACAACGUCCCCCGCGUCCCGUCACGACGCACGAAAAAGAAUGACUCUCGGCAAUGGAUAUCUCGGCUCUUGCAUCGAUGAAGAACGUAGCGAAAUGCGAUACUUGGUGUGAAUUGCAGAAUCCCGUGAACCAUCGAGUCUUUGAACGCAAGUUGCGCCCGAAGCCAUUAGGCCGAGGGCAUGCCUGCCUGGGUGUCACACAUCGUUACCCCCACGCACAGGUGCGCUGCUGGCCUGUGCGUGUAGUGUAUGCUGGCCUCCCGCGAGCGGUGCCUCGUGGUUGGUUGAAAUUCGAGUCCGCGGUGGGGUGCGCCGUGAUAAAAUGGUGGACGGGCAAUGCCCGAGACCAAGCACGCGUGAUCCUGUUUGGUGUGACCCUUGGACCCCUGCGGCGUCUUCGGAUGC